CGCCACCAACACCCGCUAAUUUUUGUAUUUUUUGUAGCGAUGGAUUUUCGCCAUGUUGCCCAGGCUCGUCUUGAAUUCAAGCUCAAAGAGAUUGCCCCUCCUCGGCCUCCGAAAGUGCUGGGAUUACAAGCGUGAGCCACCACGCAUGGCCUGUGUUUUCUGUAUUACUGUAAGGAGACUGAUGGCAAACUGCCGCUAGCAUUCUGCAUGGCUAUCAGAGAAAGAAAGUAGCAAAGACUGUAGCUGUUGGAGAAACAAGGUAACAAAACCUGUAUCACAGAAGGCAAGUGGUAAAGGCUGAUUCUGCUGUGAAGAAUAGGGAAAAAAAUGGAGGUAGGUACUAGGUCCUACCAAGGCAUUGUUAUAUGAAAGGAAGACAAAAUGGCGUUCACAUGGUUAUGGGUAUAGGGGGGUAGGAGGUGUGUGGGAGGCACUUAACUGGCAAAUACAAUCUUUAAAGAAGAAAGUAGUAAUUACCGUGGGAGAAACAACCAUGAAAGUAUAUAGGAUUCUCAACAUUUUUCAGUGGAAUGGGGAGAGGCCAACUUGUUUGGCUGUGUUCCUCUGAGCUGCCUUCCAUCCGGAGCUACUGAUUUUCUAUUGUUGAAUUUAAAAGGACUUUUUAUUAAUGUACCCGCGGCCAAUUUAAAGGUGCUAUCGACUGAUACCUCAUAAAACACGGAAACCAGUUUCAUAAAGCCACCAGCCCAACAAGUACCAUUUUAAGUUUUAAAAACAUGCCUACUUCAGCUGCAAGAGUUUCCAGUAACUUCACGUGUCAGUAUAUAGCUCCAAUUGUGAAAAGAGAAUGGAGACUUCAUCUCCAUACAUGGUGUUGGGGUGCUGAAGCAAGAUGAAGAGAGAAGCAUCCCUGAAGGACCAGAGAAGUGGUAAUUGCGUGGGCGUGUAGUGUGAUAUGGGGAGAGUACCAUAAAAAAAAGAGACAGGUAUAUACUGUACUAUAUUUAUGUGCAGUACUAUUAUUGGCAGAGAGAAAAGUGGAAAUCUCACUGAUCAUAUGAAAUGCAAGGUUUUGUUUUUACAUGUUGUUAAAUUAAUUCCUUAGAGUUACCAAGAGAUAAUAUUUGUAAUGUAAAGAAGGGACCCUGGAGCUAACCUGCCUAGGUCAGAAAGCUCUCUGUCAUGUAUUAGGCGUAGGACAUUGGACAAGUUAUUUUAAGCUUCACUUGGUAUAUACUCGUGGGUAAAAGUGGGAUAACAGGCCGGGCGUGGUGGCUCACACCUGUAAUCCCAGCACUUUGGGAGGCCGAGGCGGGCGGAUCACAAGUCAGGAG